rnacentral:rRNA from 1 species
GUGAGGAAUUUUCCGCAAUGGGCGAAAGCCUGACGGAGCAAUGCCGCGUGAAGGAUGAAGGCCUAUGGGUUGUAAACUUCUUUUCUCAGAAAAGAAUUAUGACGGUAUCUGAGGAAUAAGCAUCGGCUAACUCUGUGCCAGCAGCCGCGGUAAGACAGAGGAUGCAAGCGUUAUCCGGAAUGAUUGGGCGGAAAGCGUCUGUAGGUUGUUUAAAAAGUAUUCUGUCAAAGAUUAGGGCUUAACCCUAGAUAGGCAGAAUAAACUUUUAAGCUAGAGUUUGGUAGAGGCAGAGGGAAUUCCCGGUGGAGCGGUGAAAUGCGUAGAUAUCGGGAGGAACACCAAAGGCGAAGGCACUCUGCUGGGCCAAUACUAACACUGAGAGACGAAAGCGAGGGGAGCAAACAGGAUUAGAAACCCCAGUAGUCC